rnacentral:rRNA from 1 species
UGAUUCUUCGGAUGAAGUCUCUUGUGACUGAGUGGCGGACGGGUGAGUAACGCGUGGGUAACCUGCCUCACACAGGGGGAUAACAGUUGGAAACGACCGCUAAUACCGCAUAACCCGCUGGUGCCGCAUGGCACUGACGGAAAAGAUUUAUCGGUGUGAGAUGGACCCGCGUCUGAUUAGCCAGUUGGCAGGGUAACGGCCUACCAAAGCGACGAUCAGUAGCCGGCCUGAGAGGGUGAACGGCCACAUUGGGACUGAGACACGGCCCAGACUCCUGCGGGAGGCAGCAGUGGGGAAUAUUGCACAAUGGGGGAAACCCUGAUGCAGCGACGCCGCGUGAGUGAAGAAGUAUUUCGGUAUGUAAAGCUCUAUCAGCAGGGAAGAAAAUGACGGUACCUGAUUAAGAAGCCCCGGCUAACUACGUGCCAGCAGCCGCGGUAAUACGUAGGGGGCAAGCGUUAUCCGGAUUUACUGGGUGUAAAGGGAGCGUAGACGGUGAUGCAAGUCAGAAGUGAAAGCCCGGGGCUCAACUCCGGGACUGCUUUUGAAACUGUGUGACUGGAGUGCAGGAGAGGUAAGCGGAAUUCCUGGUGUAGCGGUGAAAUGCGUAGAUAUCAGGAGGAACACCAGUGGCGAAGGCGGCUUACUGGACUGUAACUGACGUUGAGGCUCGAAAGCGUGGGGAGCAAACAGGAUUAGAUACCCUGGUAGUCCACGCCGUAAACGA